rnacentral:lncRNA from 1 species
AGUGCUUGAAAAUGUUGCCUGUGAAGAAGACUAUAUAAGCCGACUUGCAGUUCCACCAACUACAAGGACAGCCAGAAGGAAAUCAAACAUCAAAGAGAGGCAAGGGAAACCAGUCGAAUCUUAUUACAUUUCUUUCAAUCUGCCUCUAAUUUUCUACAGGCGGAAUUGGACAUAUUGGUGUGCAACAUCAAUUUCUUGCUAACCUAUAUCGCUUAACAAGAGCGAGUAAGAAGAAAGAUGAAACAAGCUGUAGUAGGAGGAAAGAAAAUUGCCUGGCUUUCCCAUGUACGCCGUUGAUCACUGACGAAUUCCUCACCGAAAUCUCAUGCUUUUGAGGUGAAUUUCUUGUGGAGAGCUGAAGAGAGAUCACUGAAAGGGCCCAUCUGAGCCCUUGAGCAACUGUUGAAGCCAAAAUGAUACCCCAAGGGGAAGUGUCUUACAAGAUAUCGCAUCCACCUCCGCCUUCAUGCUGUUCUGAGAGACAACGAUAGCUGAAAAGAGAGGGGGGAGAGAGAGAG